CUGCAGAGCAUUAUAUCAAACGAGAGUAGCUUGCAAUACGUUGUGGCAAAAUCGGAUGCGAUGAAGCAGGAA
rnacentral:sRNA from 1 species